AGCUUUGCGCAGUGGCAGUAUCAUAGCCAGUGAGGUUUAUCUGAAGCACGAUUAUUACUAAUUGAAAACAGAAUGUGCAUAAAUAACAAGUCAGUUAUUCCUCCAGGAAGAUCUCGCAAGAAAUCAAGGCUAGCCUUAUCUUUGAAAUAUCUCCACAAUCAUCUGUGGGGAACAUAAUCUACAGCUGGAGAU
ensembl:snRNA U4 U4 spliceosomal RNA